ACUGAAACACCAGUUCUCGUAUGAUCACCAAAGGUAAGCAAUGUUGACUCUGGUCAGUACCUAGAUAGAUGACCACUUGGGAAUACCAGGUGCUGUAAG